rnacentral:ncRNA from 2 species
GGUGAACGACAAGCGGCAAGCUAACCUAAAAGGCUCAGGCAGACUGGGGAAAGCGCGGUGCAAGUCCGCCACUGUGACGCAACUGUGAUGGGAUCCCUCCCUCAGCCAGAACACCCACCUGCCGUUGUCCUGUACC